CUAAUUUGAUUGAUUUUGUGGUUUCAGUUAGUCGAAAUAGCUAGAUCUCACAGACAUUUGGUACGUUUAAUAACGGGUUGUUAAGUAAAAUUCUGUAAGUAGUGAUAAAUUAGUCGUUAGCUAUUAUAUCUAAUUUAGAAGGGGUUUUAUUAAUUUAGGGUAGGGGCGAUGAGGUCCUUACCCUGUCUACAUUUAUAGUUGCGUCUAACUUGACUAGGGUUAGGGUUACCCUUGUCUCGUAAGUAUGUUAUUAUUUUUUCUUUAGUUAGUUAAAUUAGGGGCAUCUCUUCUGUGUUUAAAUUGGGUGUGUUCAUUUAUGAAUUAAUUAGUAAUUAUAUUAACUGUGUUUUUUCUCGUGUUCAGUCCGACUGUUUAUUAAAAACAUUUCCACUCGUUACUGAUGAGUGGUAAGACCUGCCCAGUGGUUUUAACGGCCGCAGUAUAUUGACUGUGCGAAGGUAGCAUAAUUAAUUGCCCCAUAAUUGGGGGCUUGUUUGAAUGGUUUUACGUGAUUGGUGCUUAGAUCAUAGUUGUUUUUGAAUUUAAUUAGACGAGUACAGAAUCUGUCGAAUUUAAUUAGACGGAAAGACCCCAGGAUCUUUUCUUUUUGUCUGGGGCAGAUUAUGUUGGUUUAACAUGUUUGAGACCCUCAGUUUAUAGGUUUAAGUUACCCUGGGGAUAACAGGGUUAUAGUUCAUUAGAGAUCUUAUCGAAUGGAUUGAUUGCUACCUCGAUGUUGACUUGGAUUGGCUUAAUGGCGCAGUUGCUUUUAGGCUUGGUCUGUUCGACCAAGUAUAUCCUCAUGAGUUGAGUUAAGACCGGCGUAA
rnacentral:rRNA from 1 species